rnacentral:rRNA from 1 species
UAUAGUAUAAGCAAUUAUACCGUGAAACUGCGAAUGGCUCAUUAAAUCAGUUAUCGUUUAUUUGAUAAUACCUUACUACUUGGAUAACCGUGGUAAUUCUAGAGCUAAUACAUGCUGAAAAUCCCGACUUCGGAAGGGAUGUGUUUAUUAGAUAAAAAACCAAUGCCCUUCGGGGCUCUUUGGUGAUUCAUGAUAACUUUACGGAUCGCAUAGCCUUGCGCUGGCGACGGUUCAUUCAAAUUUCUGCCCUAUCAACUUUCGAUGGUAAGGUAUUGGCUUACCAUGGUUUCAACGGGUAACGGGGAAUUAGGGUUCGAUUCCGGAGAGGGAGCCUGAGAAACGGCUACCACAUCCAAGGAAGGCAGCAGGCGCGCAAAUUACCCAAUCCCGACACGGGGAGGUAGUGACAAUAAAUACUGAUACAGGGCUCUUUUGGGUCUUGUAAUUGGAAUGAGUACAAUUUAAACCUCUUAACGAGGAACAAUUGGAGGGCAAGUCUGGUGCCAGCAGCCGCGGUAAUUCCAGCUCCAAUAGCGUAUAUUAAAGUUGUUGCAGUUAAA